rnacentral:rRNA from 1 species
UACGUAGGGAGCAAGCGUUGUCCGGAUUUAUUGGGCGUAAAGAGCUCGUAGGCGGUUUCGUAAGUCGAGUGUGAAAAAUCUGGGCUUAACCCAGUGGAGCACUUGAUACUGCGAUGACUUGAGUUUGGUAGAGGAGUGUGGAAUUCCUGGUGUAGCGGUGAAAUGCGCAGAUAUCAGGAGGAACACCAACGGCGAAGGCAGCACUCUGGGCCAGUACUGACGCUGAGGAGCGAAAGCGUGGGGAGCAAACAGG